rnacentral:rRNA from 1 species
AAAAUCUCAACUUUAUUAGAAGAGACGCAUUUAUUAGAUAAAAAGCCAAUGCAUGCUUUUACAGUAUGGAAAUUGGUGAUUUAUAAUAACUUGGCAAAUCGCAAAGUGAAAACAGGCGAUAAAUCAUUCAAGUUUCUGACCUAUCAGCUUUCGACGGUAUGGUAUUGGCUUACCGUGGCAGUGACGGUUAACGGGGGAUUAGGGUUCGAUUCCGGAGAGGGAGCCUGAGAAACGGCUACCACAUCUAAGGAAGGCAGCAGGCGCGCAAAUUACCCAAUUCUAACAGUUUGAGAGAGGUAGUAACAAGAAAUAACAAUACAAGGCAAUUAAAAUGUUUUGUAAUUGGAAUGAUAGAAAUUUAAACCCUUUUUAAAGUAUCAAUUGGAGGGCAAGUCUGGUGCCAGCAGCCGCGGUAAUUCCAGCUCCAAUAGCGUAUAUUAAAAUUGUUGCAGUUAAAAAGCUCGUAGUUGAAGUUCUGCUAAAAGUAACCGGUCUGCUUUUAAUAAAAGUGGUAUCUUGGUGUGUAUUUAGCAAUGAUGUC